rnacentral:lncRNA from 1 species
UCUUUUAACUCUCUCUCUCUCUACGCGUCUCAUGUUGAACAGGCCCGGGCUCCCCGCUCCCCGUCGAUCAGAUCGGCUCCACCUGGAAUCUUUCCAUCGAUCUGUUCAUCCGGCAGUUGAUCGAGAUAAACCCAGAUGUGGUUACGUGGUGUCAAGGCCACAAACGUUUCUCAAAGAUCCGUCAUCUUCGUCGUAGGGCCCAACGAAUCCCAGUCAAAGGGACAGCUCGAGACUCGCAGAGCUUCACAACUCACCGUAAGCCCUUGGCCUGUGAUCUGCUCAAAUCCGAGUAUCUUGCAGGGCCAUCCGCUGCAGAACCCCUGCAAGUAGGUGAUCCCCCGCUGGUCCGACGGAGCGCAUGCUCUGCAAUCACAAUCGCCGAUCCAAGCGAGGGGGAAGAUCAGAAGAAAGACGGCACCUAGGGUUCGACAUCCCCACCCCACCCCCCAGAGGAAAUACGAACCUGAAAAUAGCCUGGAGACUCUGAAUCUUACCGCCGGGGGGCCUGCCGCGCGCGCUUGAGCUCCUCGUGGCCGCCCCCAUGGGGGCGAUGGCUGCUCUAGGGUUGGGGCUAGGGUUAGGGUUGGGGUUAGCGCUGGAGGAAGAAGAAGCGAGGCUGGGGCAGUUCGCAUCAUUUCUCGUUCACAUCCGGCGCCAUAAUGCCAGCGUAGCCGAGCAGAGUUCCAGUCAGCGGCAAAUGGCGGCGGGCGGCGGGGUCUCUCCGGCGCCGACCAGCAGAGGAGGGAUCUCGGCGGCGUGGCGGCGAUACGGCAGCGUGGCUUUAAUCGCCGCCCUCGUAGGCGGCGGCGGAUAGGGACUGUAUUCUCAAGUGGGCCCAGUUUUUAACACGUGGUUGACUCGCCCUCGUACGGAGAUGCUCACGUGAGGACAAAGCUCUGGAUGGCCCUCCUCGAUAUGGCGCCGCCAAAUAUCGAGGUACAAGGCGUUCCGCACAAACUUCUGUGCGCAUCAAAUCGCAUCUGAGAGAUGAUGGAGCCGCCAGGCGCCCAUGGCAACGUGCAAAUCUACACGCCUCGCACGUGCGUGUUUCCCACACCGGGACACGUGCCGUGGUCUCCUCGCAGAUUCUCUGCUUCUGCGUAUCAACCAAAAAAGACGUCUUAUUUGGUUUUAUACCCCUGUUGGUAGCUCCCCUCGAUCGACGGCAAAAAUGGGAUUGAUAUGCCUUUAUUUUAUGUUUACUAUCAUCCCAGUCGAAAAUUAGUUGAUUUUAAUUACCUUAAUAAAAAAUGCGGGCCGCCCAACGUACAGAAGAUUCUAAAAAAUCGCCCAA